UUGCUCUUGUAUUUCCUCUAACAUCACAUCUUCACUUUUGUCUUUAACUUGAUUCAGGAACUUUCUGAUGUGGUGCGAUGUUUGAACAUGGACUAAAUACAGUAAGACUUGUGGCAUGUGAUGAUGUGCAUCACCCACUGUUUAAAACUUUGUUUCAGCUCAUUAUCUGCCCAGCUCUUUACGCUUUAGCAAUUGAAGGUUUCACACAAAAGUGUUUGUUUGCAAUUGUUACACUGCAAUAGUUUCAUUGCUGUUUUAUUUCCCCAUAAUCCGUGUACCAUUCGUUCAUUCGUUUUUCAAAAUAAAACCAAAACUCAAAAAACAAAUAAAUGACUUGUUUCCUCAAUAUUCGUUUCCAAAACCAAAAGGAAAUAACGGAUAACAACUCGUUUUUCCCAUUUGCAAUUUUGUGCUCAAAUUAAAAAUGGAAAAAACGGAUAACGAGCGUUUCACCCCGUUUCAUCCAAUUUUUAUAUUUUUAAUUGACGCAAGAUGCAUGACCCGGUUGUGACCUUAACUCGUGGGACAACGACACCACCAAGAGCCAAGAACAGCAUAUCUUGUAGCAGGUAGCAACUGAAAUGGAUAUUUUUGUGCUUUUUAGUGGAAGUAAGAGGGUUACUCUGAAGCCUGAAGACAUGACCACAGAGAAGAUAUCGGUUAUUUUCCAGGUCCAAAAGGAAACCGUUUAUUUGACGGACGACACCAACGUGGCCAUAUUUCCCCGACCUGAUGGUGACUUCAACUGCUUUGACCUCAUCGCCAGAGGCCAUUAUGAAGUGCAUGGUGACAGCACCACUGUGGAAAAAUCUGCAGGGGCACUUCCCUCAAGCCAGGUUGCCCGCUUUUCUUUCCAUCGCCCACCAAGCACUGCCACAAGCUCCUCCUGUCCAAUUCCAAGGAGCACCACCAAAACUUUUGUGAGAGUUUGAGGCUUGUGUGGCACCAAUCACCAGUAAGGUGAAAGAGGCCCUUGGACAGCAGGAGUCAUUUAUUUUGACAGAUAGUCAGGGCAACGAAAUAGUUGACUCUGAUGGAACUAGGGGAUCAGCAUACUGGAAGCAAAAUUCCAGGAAAGUAUUUGCAGUACCUGAACCACAGAUGGAACUGCUACAAGUCAAUAAAAGGAAGAGGUUGAGUCGAAGAGAAGAUACUGGCCUUCAAGAGGUUAUGGCAGACAUUGAAGAAGUUGUUGAAGCAGCCCAGGGACUAAAAGAAGUGUCGAAGAUGAUUAAGGAUUUGAGUGGAUUUGCACAUUCCACAGUGACAACAACCCUGUCUCUUUCAGAGGCUGAAGUAGCUUCCUUAAGAGUCGUUUUUGCCUGUCUUGUCUGCAAAGGUCCUGUAGACAAGCCAAUGUUCUCAACAUGCUGCAGAACCCUAAUCGGGUGUAAGGCAUGUGUUGCGGAGUGAAACAGCAGCCACAGUUACUGCCCGAAGUGUCGCGCUGUGGAUUUGGAGAACAGCGUUCAUGAAGUGGCUGGACUCUCUGAGGCGCUGGCACCACUGGAGAAGUUAUUCCUUUAGUAUGUUGCUAUGGUGGCAACAGAUGUUCAUACAGUUCUUCCGAGCCUUGUUUUUAUAGAGGAAUAAUGUCUAAUGUUAACAGUAUUAUUGUCACAUGUAAUUGUGGCACUUA